AAGCAAAUGAACGGAUGCCUAGGGUAGAAAAGCAGAGGAAGGACGUAAUUGACUGCGAAAAGCUUCGGUAAGGUGUCAAUAACCGUUACAGCUGGAGAUUUCCGAAUGGGGCAACCUAUUCCGUAUAUCGGAAUGUAAAUCUGUAAGCGUGGGAAGUGAAAUAUCUCAGUACCACGAGGAAAAGAAAUCGUAAGAGAUUCUCUUAGUAGUGACGAACGAACGGGGAACAGCCUAAACCACUACAGUGUAAGAUGAUAGUCGUUGCUGUAGAUUGGGGUUGUGGGAGUGUUUAGAAAGUUCUAUCAGGCUUUCAUAGAGUUUGACAAAAAAUCAUAAUAGAAGAAUUGCAUGAGAAGGCAAACUAUAAAGGGUUAUAGUCCCGUAUUUUAAAUUAUGAUUUCUCUAAAAUAUUUCCCGAGUAGCGUCAAACACGUGAAAUUUGGCGUGAAUCCUCCCGGACCACCGGGAAAGGCUAAAUACUUUUCUACACCGAUAGUGAAAUAGUACCGUGAGGGAAAGGUGAAAAGAACCCCUGGUAGGGGAGUGAAAUAGAUUCUGAAAUUCUUUGCUUACAAGGGAGUGGGAGCUACGGUGACCGCGUACCUAUUGACGAAUGGGCUAGCGAGUUAUUGAUAAUAGCAAGGUUAAGACAUUCAUAGUUGGAGCCGGAGCGAAAGCGAGUCUUAAUAGGGCGAAUAGUUAUUGUUAAUAGACCCGAAACACCAUGAGCUACGCAUGAGCAGGGUGAUGUGCUGAGAAAUUGGUACGGAGGCCCGAACCAGUAGGAGCUGCAAGUCCUUUGGAUGACUUGUGUGUAGUAGUGAAAAGCUUAUCGGAUGGUGUGAUAGCUGGUUCUCCUCGAAAUGUAUUUAGGUACAGCCUGUGAUGAUGAUCUCAUAGAGGUAGAGCUCUUGUAAGGCUAGGGGUAUCGAGAGAUAUUACCAAACCUUGCUAAACUUCGAAUGCUAUGAGGAAAAUCAUGGAGUGAGACUGCGGGGGCAAGCUUCGUAGUCGAAAGGAUAACAGUCCAGAUUUCUAACUAAGGUCCCUAAGUCGUGACUAAGUGGAAAAAGAGGUGUUUUUGCUAUGACAUUUAGGAGGUUUGCUUAGAAGCAGCAAUCCUUUAAAGAAAGCGUAACAGCUCACUAAACGAGCGAAGAUGCGCUGAAGAUGUAACGGGGCUAAGUCACGCACCGAAGUUGAAAGUCUAUAAUUUUUUUUAUAGGCGGUAGAGGAGUGUUCUUUAUUGGGUGAAGGUUUGGUGUAAACUUAAAUUGGACGAUAAAGAAGUAAAAAUGCUAGCAUGAGUAACGACUGUUGAUGAAAAUUCAACAUACCUAAAGCAUAAGGUUUCCUACGCAACGUUCAUCGUCGUAGGGUUAGUCGGGACCUAAGGCUAUUACCGAAAGGUUAUGUCGAUGGAAAGCUGGUUUAUAUUCCAGCACCUAUAUAUUCAAUGAUGUGGUGACGCAUUGGGAUUUGUAAGGGCUUACUAAGGAUGUGAGUUGAGAUUACUAUACGAUUUUGGUUCGCCAAAAGGUUUUGUAUAGGAAAAUCCGUACAAAAUAUAAGUGGAGUUUGAUCUGAAUAAUAUUUUAGGAUAUUAAAUCUUAUAGUUUUGAUGCCGAGAAAAACCACUAAGUGUUAAUGUUUAUAUAGCCCGUACCGAGAUCAGACACAUGUAUGCAGGUGGAGAACACCAAGGUACUCGAGAUAACUAAUGAAUAAGGAACUUGGCAAAUUAGCGGACGUAACUACGGGAUAAGUCCUCCCUUAUAGCAAUAUAAGGGUGCAACUAAAGAAGUGGGGGGAACUGUUUAUCAAAAACACAGCUCUCUGCUAACAUGUAAAUGGAUGUAUAGAGGGUGUUGCCUGUCCAAUGCCAGAAUGUUACGCUCUCUUGUGCAAGCUCGAGAGUUAAGCACUGGUCAAUGACGGCCGUAACUAUGACGGUCCUAAGGUAGCGAAAUUCCUUGUCGGGUAAGUUCCGACCCGCACGAAUGGUACAAUCAUCCCCACACUGUCUUAUUCUUAGACUCGGUGAAAUUACAAUUCCGGUAAAAAUGCCGGAUGGUCGCAGUUAGACGGAAAGACCCCGUGAAGCUUUACUAUAGAUUGAUAUUGUGAUGUAGCAUAUAUUGUUCAGGAUAUGUGGGAGACUUUGAUAUUUCAACGCUAGUUGGGAUGGAGUCAUCCUUGAGAUACCACACUAUUUAUGUCGCAUUACUAACCCCACGAUGUGGGGAACAGUGUCAGUUGGGUAGUUUACCUGGGGCGGGUGCCUCCUAAAAAGUAACGGAGGCGCGCAAAGGUUUGCUUGUUACGGAUGGAAACCGUGAUGAAUGUGUAUUUGCAUAAGCAAGCUUAACUGUGAGACAUACAAGUCAAGCAGAUACGAAAGUAGGCAAAAGUGAUCCGGAUCUUCCGUGUGGAAGGGGACAGGCUAAUGGGAUCUAAGCGUUCAUAGCGACGAUCCCGUUUGGCACCUCGAUGUCGGCUCGUCGCAUCCUGGGGCUGUAGAAGGUCCCAAGGGUUGGGCUGUUCGCCCAUUAAAGCGGGACGCGAGCUGGGUUCAGAACGUCGUGAGACAGUUUGGCCCCUAUCUACUGUGACCGUAGACAAUUUGAGAGAUGCUGUCCCUAGUACGAGAGGACCGGGAUGGACUAGCCUCUGGUGAAGCAGUUGUUGGACCUCCAGCAGACCGCUGCGUAGCUACGCUGGGUACAGAUAACCACUGAAAGCAUAUAAGUGGGAAGCUUGUCUCAAGAUUAGAUUGUCCUUCCUAUAUGGAUUAAGACCACCUAGAGACUAUAGGUUAUAUAGGUAUCAUGUGUAAGCUUCGUGAGGAGUGAUUAUUAUACUUUUUUAAUUUUUGU
rnacentral:rRNA from 1 species